GGGAGAUUGAAAAUUCAUUCGCUUUAUUUUAGCACACGAGACUCUCUUCUCUUCUCAAACUUUUUUCGAACGAAGUUUGACGACCAUCACAGGUAAUUUUUCUUUCAUUUGAUACAAAUGCAUGUUAAUUAACUACUUUAUCUAUGAUUUUUGUUUGUUUUGACCAAUUAUUUUCGUGUUCUUGCCCUUCAUAGACACAUUUUGUUUUCUCUCUCACGGGUGAUGACACUUUAUUAGGAUGAACCCAUAUUUUGAAAGUUAGUUUUCGUUUUGAAGAACUUGUUUUUUUUAACUUGUUUAUGGUUGUUGUUUGGUUGAACUUGUUUGUCGUUGUUGUUUGGUUGAACUUGUUUAUUGUUGUUUGGUUGAACUUAUUUG
rnacentral:lncRNA from 1 species